CAGCAUGGUCUUAGCUUGCUAAGGCCGAUGGCGACCGGCGCACGGGUGAGUAACACGUAUCCAACCUGCCGUCUACUCUUGGAUAGCCUUUCGAAAGAAAGAUUAAUACCCGAUGGCAUAGUUCUUCCGCAUGGUGGAACUAUUAAAGAAUUUCGGUCAUCGAUGGGGAUGCGUUCCAUUAGGUUGUUGGUGAGGUAACGGCUCACCAAGCCUUCGAUGGAUAGGGGUUCUGAGAGGAAGGUCCCCACAUUGGAACUGAGACACGGUCCAAACUCC
rnacentral:rRNA from 1 species